rnacentral:misc_RNA from 1 species
UCCGGUUUGUCACCGGCAGUCCCAUUAGAGUGCCCAACUUAAUGUGGCAACUAAUGGCAAGGGUUGCGCUCGUUGCGGGACUUAACCCAACAUCUCACGACACAAGCUGACGACAGCCAUGCAGCACCUGAACCAGAGGUCCCCGAAGGGAAGACCUUAUUUCUAAGGCUGUCCUCUGUUGUCUAGCCCGGGUAAGGUUCUUCGCGUUGCGUCGAAUUAAUCCACAUAAUCCACCGCUUGUGCGGGUCCCCGUCAAUUCCUUUGAGUUUUAGCCUUGCGGGCGUACUCCCCAGGCGGGGUGCUUAAUGCGUUAGCUUCGGCACAGAGGGAGUCGACACCCCCUACACCUAGCACCCAUCGUUUACGGCGUGGACUAC